UACGUAGGGAGCAAGCGUUGUCCGGAAUCAUUGGGCGUAAAGCGCGCGUAGGCGGCCCUGUAAGUCCGUUGUGAAAGUCAAAGGCUCAACCUUUGAAAGCCGAUGGAUACUGCAGGGCUAGAGUCCGGAAGAGGCGAGUGGAAUUCCUGGUGUAGCGGUGGAAAUGCGCAGAUAUCUGGAGGAACACCGGUGGCGAAGGCGGCAUCCUGGACCGGCAGUUGGACGCUGACGGAGCGAAAGCCAGGG
rnacentral:rRNA from 1 species